AGAGUUUGAUCCUGGCUCAGGAUGAACGCUGGCGGUAUGCCUAACACAUGCAAGUCGUGCGGAAAAGAAAUUUUUAGUGGCGAACGGGUGAGUAACGCGUGAGAAUUUGCUUUUAGGUAGAGGAUAACGAAUAGAAAUAUUCGCUAAAACUCUAUAACUCUAUUAAAAAAAUAGCUAAAAAAAGAAAUUUGCCUAGAAAAAAGCUCGCGUCUGAUUAGCUAGUUGGUAAGGGAAAGGCUUACCAAGGCGACGAUCAGUAGCUGAUUUGAGAGGAUGAUCAGCCACACUGGAACUGAGACACGGUCCAGACUCCUACGGGAGGCAGCAGUGAGGAAUUUUCUGCAAUGGGCGAAAGCCUGACAGAGCAAUACCGCGUGAGGGAAUAAGAAGGCCUAUGGGUUGUAAACCUCUUUUCUCAAAGAAGAAGAUCUGACGUUAUUUGAGGAAUAAGCAUCGGCUAACCCUGUGCCAGCAGCCGCGGUAAU
rnacentral:rRNA from 1 species